rnacentral:lncRNA from 1 species
UUGUGAUGGAGCUGUUGGAAAAACUUGCAUGCUGAUCUCUUAUACCAACAUUACCUUCCCCACUGUAAGUAAUUGUUCUAUGUGGGUGCUUGGUUUCUACUAGUCUGCUAUUUUACCAUGGUGAAGAUUAUCAAGGCUGGUCUUAUAAGCGCUUAUAUCAUAAAAACACUCUACUUUGGAAGGUAUGAGGGAACACUUCUGGAAUGUUGACCCAUUAUUUGGUGCUGCAUUCAUUUCUGUAUGUAUAAACAAUAUAUAUUCCAGGACUAGUAGUCACUUAUGGUCCAGUGAAUGAGAUAGAUUUUUUAUUGUAAUAGAAAUACAUAUACAAAGAAUAGGAAGAAAAUGAAUUUAUAGAAGAUAAUUAAGCUCAGCGUAUGCACUUAGUUUCUGGUUUUUACUUGACAUCAGCAAGAUUAAAAUCUGCUAAAAUUAUAAUGGCAUAUGUGUUCCUGCGCUUAUUAUAAAGUUAAGCAAAAGCUAAGUUUAUUAAAUUAUGACCAUCUGCGUAGU